UACGAAGGGUGCAAGCGUUACUCGGAAUUACUGGGCGUAAAGCGUGCGUAGGUGGUUCGUUAAGUCUGAUGUGAAAGCCCCGGGCUUAACUUGGGAAUUGCGCUCGAAACUACGUGGCUGGAGUGUGGCAGAGGAAGGUGGAAUUCCAGGUGUAGCGGUGAAAUGCGUAGAGAUCUGGAGGAACACCGAUGGCGAAGGCAGCCUUCUGGGCCAACACUGACGCUCAUGCACGAAAGCGUGGGGAGCAAACAGG
rnacentral:rRNA from 1 species